rnacentral:rRNA from 1 species
AUAUCAAUAAGCGGAGGAAAAGAAACUAACAAGGAUUCCCCUAGUAACGGCGAGUGAAGCGGGAAGAGCACAAAUUUAAAAUCUACCUGGUUUUCAGGUCGAGUUGUAAUUUGAAGAUACGUUUUUGAUGUUCCUGGUUGGACUAAAUCCUUUGGGAUAAGGUAUCAUAGAGGGUGAGAAUCCCGUGUAUACCAACCAUAGGGAUGUUAUUUAAUAACGUUUCUAAGAGUCGAGUUGUUUGGGAAUGCAGCUCUAAAUGGGUGGUAAAUUUCACCUAAUGCUAAAUAUAAGCGAGAGACCGAUAGCGAACAAGUACAGUGAUGGAAAGAUGAAAAGAACUUUGAAAAGAGAGUUAAAUAGUACGUGAAAUUGUUGAAAGGGAAACGAUUGAAGUCAGUCAUGCCGGCGGGAAUCAACUUAGGGGAAACUCUAGGUGCAUUUCUUCGUUUGGUAGGUUAGCGUCGAUUUUGGAUGCCAUAAAAUAAUUGGGGGAAGGUAGCUCCUUCGGGAGUGUUAUAGCCCUUGGUAGAUGUGAUGUCUGGGAUCGAGGAUUGCAACGGAUACCCUUCGGGGCUAGCCGUCUGAUCUCUAAUUGGUGUUGGGUUACGGACAGCAUGCUGACCGUGAUCUAAUUGCUGGUUAAAAGGUUAGAGCGUGCAUAAAUUCGUUAAGGACGCUGACGUAAUGGCUUUAAACGACCCGUCUUGAAACACGGACCAAGGAGUCUAACAUGUAUGCGAGUGUUAGGGUAUUAAACCCAGACGCGAAAUGAAAGUGAGUGUAGGUGGGAUCCUUUAUUGGAGCACCAUCGACCGAUCUUGAGAUUUUUCGAUAGAAUUGAGUUAGAGCAUACCUGUUGGGACCCGAAAGAUGGUGAACUAUGCCUGAAUAGAGCGAAGCCAGAGGAAACUCUGGUGGAGGCUCGUAGCGGUUCUGACGUGCAAAUCGAUCGUCAAAUUUGGGUAUAGGGGCGAAAGACUAAUCGAACCAUCUAGUAGCUGGUUCCUGCCGAAGUUUCCCUCAGGAUAGCAGAAACUCAUUAACAGUUUUAUGAGGUAAAGCGAAUGAUUAGAGGCCUUAGGGUUGAAACAGCCUUAACCUAUUCUCAAACUUUAAAUAUGUAAGAAGCUAACAGGUUACUUAAUUGAACCUGGGCAAUCGAAUGAGAGUUUCUAGUGGGCCAUUUUUGGUAAGCAGAACUGGCGAUGCGGGAUGAACCGAACGUAAGGUUAAGGUGCCCAAAUUCACGCUCAUUUAGACACCACAAAAGGUGUUAGUUCAUCUAGACAGCAGGACGGUGGCCAUGGAAGUCGGAAUCCGCUAAGGAGUGUGUAACAACUCACCUGCCGAAUGAACUAGCCCUGAAAAUGGAUGGCGCUCAAGCGUGAUACCUAUACCUUACCGUCAGGGUUAAAUUGAAGCUCUGACGAGUAGGCAGGCGUGAAGGUCGUGAAGAAGUCAUGGGUGUAAACCUUGAUGGAACGGUCUUUAGUGCAGAUCUUGGUGAUAGUAGCAAAUAUUCAAAUGAGAACUUUGAAGACUGAAGUGGAGAAAGGUUCCAUGUGAACAGUGAUUGGACAUGGGUUAGUCGAUCCUAAGAGAUAGGGGAAUUCCGUUUUAAAGGGGACUAUUUUUAGUCACACCUAUCGAAAGGGAAGCAGGUUAAUAUUCCUGCACCUGAAUGCGGAUAAUUAAUACGGUAACGUUAACUGAACUUGGUUACGUCUGUGAGGGCUUCGGGAAGAGUUAUCUUUUCUUUUUAACUAUCUUUUAAACCUUGGAAUUUCGGAUUAACCGGAGAUAAGGUAUAAAGGUAGGAAGAGCUUGACACUUAAGUCAGGUCCGAUGCGUUCUCAAGGACCCUUGAAAAACCAAGGGAAAGAUUUAUUUUCGCGUCAGGUCGUACUCAUAACCGC